UUGUUAAAUUAUAAGAGGUCCCGCCUGCCCAGUGACCCAAUUUAACGGCCGCGGUACCCUAACCGCGCAAAGGUAGCAUAAUCACUUGUUCUUUAAAUGAGGACUUGCAUCAAAGGCACCACGAGGGCUUUACUGUCUCCCUUUUCUAAUCAGUAAAACUAAUCUUCCCGUGAAGAAGCGGGAAUAAAUAUAUAAGACGAGAAGACCCCAUGGAGCUUUAAACUAGCUACACAUCUAUUUUUAUAUCCUAAAAUUUAAUAGAACACUGCCUGCUCAGCUUUAGGUUGGGGUGACCGCGGAGCACAACACAACCUCCGCAAUGCACAAAACUAUUCUCUUAUCUGAGAAAUACAAUUCUAAGAAUUAGUAUUCUAACAUAUGAUGAUCCGAUAAUCGAUCAACGGACCAAGUUACCCUGGGGAUAACAGCGCAAUCCAUUUCAAGAGCUCCUAUCGACAAAUGGGUUUACGACCUCGAUGUUGGAUCAGGAUAUCCUAGUGGUGCAGCAGCUACUAAAGGUUCGUUUGUUCAACGAUUAAAAUCCU
rnacentral:rRNA from 1 species